rnacentral:rRNA from 1 species
UGCCUCACGAACAAAAAAUGAGAGGUCCAUCCUGCCCAGUGACCUGAGGGUUUAACGGCCGCGGUACCCUGACCGUGCUAAGGUAGCGUGAUAAGUUGCCCUUUAAUUGGGGGCUUGUAUGAACGGACACACGAGAGUUUAGCUGUCUCUUUUGUAAAAAUGAAAAUUAAUCUUUAGGUGAAAAAACCUAAAUUUUACCAAAGGACAAAAAGACCCCAUAGAGCUCUGUUUAAUAAAAUUCUACCAAAAAAUAAUCUUUAUAUUUUUAUAAAUAUUUUAUAAACUUAACUGGGGCGGUUAAAGAAAACAUAAACUUCUUUUUACUAGUUUUAUUUUCUAACACAAAAAGAUUUUUACCAGUCAUUAUUUUCUGAGCCUAAUUUUUUAUAGAUCAAAGGAAAAGCUACCUUGGGGAUAACAGAUUUAUCCUUCUUAAGAGUUCUUAUUGACAGAAGGGUUUGACACCUCGAUGUUGGCUUAGGGAACCCAAAGGGUCAGCAGAAGAAAUUAAAGGUAGGUUUGUUCAACCUUUAAAACCCU